AAGAUAUUAGUAAAAUGAAUUAUAUCAUUUUGUCAAAAUGAAGUUGCCGGUUCGAUCCGACAUGUCUUA
rnacentral:tRNA from 2 species